rnacentral:rRNA from 1 species
UACGUAGGGGGCGAGCGUUGUCCGGAAUUAUUGGGCGUAAAGAGCUCGUAGGCGGCUUGGCAAGUCGGAUGUGAAAACUCCAGGCUCAACCUGGAGCCGCCAUUCGAUACUGCUAUGGCUAGAGUCCGGUAGGGGAGUGUGGAAUUCCCGGUGUAGCGGUGAAAUGCGCAGAUAUCAGGAGGAACACCAAUGGCGAAGGCAGCUCGCUGGGACGUGACUGACGCUGAGACGCGAAAGCGUGGGGAGCAAACAGG